UACGGAGGGUGCAAGCGUUGUCCGGAAUCAUUGGGCGUAAAGCGCGCGUAGGCGGCCCGGUAAGUCCGCUGUGAAAGUCAAAGGCUCAACCUUUGAAUGUCAGCGGAUACUGCCGGGCUAGAGUCCGGAAGAGGCGAGUGGAACUCCUGGUGUAGCGGUGGAAUGCGCAGAUAUCAGGAAGAACACCAACGGCGAAGGCAGCUCGCUGGGACGGAACUGACGCUAAGGCGCGAAAGCGUGGGGAGCGAACAGG
rnacentral:rRNA from 1 species